rnacentral:lncRNA from 1 species
GAUUGUCCUAUGACUAACAAGUCAAACAGAUUUGCCAAUUAUGUUUCUUUCACUUCCCCAAACUCUAGGACUUCAAGUCUUCCACGACCACCGUCUAGGGACUUGAAAAUGUUAUCCCACAAUGAGGUGAGAUGAUGUCUUAGCGAGUUCUACUCCCUAAGACCCGAUUAGGAAGAAAAUAUGCCCUAGGGGCACGAGUCGGAGGGCUUACCUUGGCUUCCGUUCCUCCCUGCAAGUCAGUUCAAUUCAUAAAUACUGACAUGUACAUCAUCCACUCAAUUCAAUCAAAUCGAAUCAUCGAUCAAUCGACUCAAUCGAUUACAUGUCAUCAAGACCAUCACAUGGUCAUUUCAAUUAUUCAAUCUCAAAUACUCACUCAUAGCUCAACGAGCAUAGCCUAUCAAAUUCUUGGCUAUAAAUCUCCGUCCAAUGGACACAACCUAUCUUUAGGUAGUAAUCACGGCCUCAUGAGCGCAACCUUUAAUAGGUGGCAGAUCUCGGUCAUAUUAGGCACGAUCUCGAUUAGGUGGUGAAUCAUGGCUCGAUGGGCACGACCUUUAAUAAGUGGCAAAUCACGGUCUAAUGGGCACAACCGAUUCCAAUUCGAUGGCGAAUCUCGGCCUAACUAGCAUGGCUAUACUUUUGUGGCUUUCUAUGUCCACUCACAACCUUUCAUAAUUAUUUCCCACUCAAACAAUGACAUUCUCCAAAUUUGGGAUAAUUUCCUUAUAAUCGCCAAUUCACUCAAUUUUCACAAACCAGUACUCAAUUAAAUAAACAGACUACACCACAAUAACCAGCAUAAAAUUUCGGUCAUCGACUAUCCCAGCCUAAUUUUCAGAAAAUAAGUAAAUAAGUAAAUAAUUAUGGAAAAUAUUAAAUAAAUGCAAUAAAUCCAACUUAGGCCUGUUAUAGCUUAAUUGGAAGCUGAGACGAGCUUGGAAAUUUCCCGAGACUUGUUCAAUAAAUACUAGCGCGAGGCUACCUGCUAAUGUCACUAACUAACCACCUAACAUGCAUUAGCAGAUAAUUAAAUUAACUAAUCUAAUCUAAUAUAUUCACCUAAACCAUGCUUAAUUAAUCUAAUUAACCCCUAAGCAUAAUUAACCUACUAAGCGAGGAUUAGUGAGUGAACUCACUUGUUUAAAUGCAAACCGUGAGGGCCAUGCGACAACGGCCUCAUUUCGAAUUUUCAGCGGCGUCAACGGACACUCGGGCCGGGCCUAAAAGCCUUGCAAGCCCACAAAAAUUUCUGGGCUUAGACUUGGGCUUGGGCCUACUUCUUGGGCUUCAAAACUAGGUUGGACUUGGGCUAAAAUCCAACGGGCUAAGCUAGAAUGGAAGUUAGGCUGAGCUGAAAAUAGAAACUUGCCGGGCUUCGCUGGCUUCUUGGGCUGCUGGGCCGAACAACAAAAGAAUAAGCUAGACUGGGCUUGAAGAAGAUGCGUGGCCUGGAGAUGCUGGAAUUUGCUGGGCUGCUCGCUCACUUGGGCUGAACAAAGAAGCAGGUGGGCUAACCGAUCCAUGAGCGACGAUAGGGGCUGCUGAAGACCACACGGAGGAGAAACGGACAAAAGCAGCUGCUGGCGAAGAACGUCCGUGGAGAUGGGGCUUCGUUGGUGAAGGCGUGUAGCUGAGGGAGAUGCACGUGGCUUCGUUGGAGAGAGGAACGGUGGAAGUUGCUGGCUGUGGACGUGGCUGGCGUGGCUUCGGCAGGAGGUGAGAGAGUCAACAAACUUGCUGGAGCUGACCGAAGAAGCUGGAAAACGGGCAGGUGGCAGCGGCUAAACAUGAGCUGAUUCGAUGGUCUUCGAAAACGUGGGCGUGAGUGAGUGGAUGCAGGGAAAAAGCAUGGAGAUGCUGGGCUGCAGAUUUGUCGAUUGUGGGCUGACGGUGGAAGGAAGAGAAGCGAAGGUGGCGUUGAUGAAGUGAAGCUCGAAAGAGAGGGGGCUAGUGGACAUCAAGGCAGAAGUUGAGACAGAAAGAAAUCAAAAUGAAGAGAAGCCGUGUAGAAGAUGGGGACGGAGGAGGCUACGCACAAAGGAGAGGGGGGUAGAGUGGAUGAGCGUGUUCAACAAGCUUGGAAGGGCUUAAAGUCAAACAAUUUUAUCUCUUCAAUUAAAGCCUUUGUUCCCUAUUUCUUUCCAAUAAUAUAAGUCCAUAAUAAGUCAAUCUUGAUGCAAAUAAUGC